rnacentral:sRNA from 1 species
AUUACAAAAUGAAAUUAAAGAAGUGACAUUUGAAAAAAAUAAAUUAGAAACAUCUCUAACAAAUACUCAAACGGAAUUUUCAACACUGAUUUUUGAAAAAGCCGAUUUGGAAAACUCAUUGAGAAAAAUGGAAUCAGACAGAGG